rnacentral:snRNA from 1 species
AUACUUACCUGGACGGGGUCAACGGGCGAUCAAGAAGGCUCGUGGCCUAGGCCAAUGGCCCACAUUGCACUUGGUGGGCGCGUUAGGCUUACCAUCUCCCCAAGUGGGAGAGUGGACGUCAUAAUUUGGUGGGUAGAGGGGGUAACGAGUUCGCGCGGCCCCUU